AUUGAACGCUGGCGGCGUGCCUAACACAUGCAAGUCGAGCGGUAACAGGUGUAGCAAUACAUGCUGACGAGCGGCGGACGGGUGAGUAACGCUUGGGAAUCUGCCUAUCAGUGGGGGACAACCCGGGGAAACUCGGGCUAAUACCGCAUACGAUCUACGGAUGAAAGCCGGGGACCGCAAGGCCUGGCGCCGAUAGAUGA
rnacentral:rRNA from 1 species